rnacentral:rRNA from 1 species
GGCGCAGCCUGAUCCAGCCAUGCCGCGUGAGUGAAGAAGGCCUUCGGGUUGUAAAGCUCUUUCGGCCGGGAAGAAAUCGCAUUGGUUAAUACCCGAGGUGGAUGACGGUACCGUACCAAGAAGCACCGGCUAACUACGUGCCAGCAGCCGCGGUAAU